UACGAAGGGGGCUAGCGUUGCUCGGAAUCACUGGGCGUAAAGCGCACGUAGGCGGAUUGCUAAGUCAGGGGUGAAAUCCUGGAGCUCAACUCCAGAACUGCCUUUGAUACUGGAGAGCUUGAGUCCGGAAGAGGUGAGUGGAACUCCGAGUGUAGAGGUGAAAUUCGUAGAUAUUCGGAAGAACACCAGUGGCGAAGGCGGCUCACUGGUCCGGUACUGACGCUGAUGUGCGAAAGCGUGGGCAGCAAACAGG
rnacentral:rRNA from 1 species